rfam:Gossypium raimondii chromosome 10, whole genome shotgun sequence.
AAUCCAUGAUGAAGACACCUUCUUAGAAGAUCCUUAAAUCUCUCUCAUGCAUCGUACAAUGUCUCAAGUUCAAAUUGAGUAAAAGAAGAGAUGUCGUUCCUUAUCCU